GACGAACGCUGGCGGCGUGCCUAAUACAUGCAAGUAGAACGCUGAAGGAGGAGCUUGCUUCUCCGGAUGAGUUGCGAACGGGUGAGUAACGCGUAGGUAACCUGCCUGGUAGCGGGGGAUAACUAUUGGAAACGAUAGCUAAUACCGCAUAAGAGUAGAUGUUGCAGGACAUUUGCUUAAAAGGUGCAAUUGCAUCACUACCAGAUGGACCUGCGUUGUAUUAGCUAGUUGGCGGGGUAACGGCUCACCAAGGCGACGAUACAUAGCCGACCUGAGAGGGUGAUCGGCCACACUGGGACUGAGACACGGCCCAGACUCCUACGGGAGGCAGCAGUAGGGAAUCUUCGGCAAUGGACGGAAGUCUGACCGAGCAACGCCGCGUGAGUGAAGAAGGUUUUCGGAUCGUAAAGCUCUGUUGUAAGAGAAGAACGAGUGUGAGAGUGGAAAGUUCACACUGUGACG
rnacentral:rRNA from 1 species